AGUCCGCAUCAGACGCGCAACUCUGACAGGCUGCUGCUCUGACGCGCUCCAGCUCAUGCGGGAAUAUUAACCUCUAAUUAUUACUCUUUAUUUCCCCUUAGAUCCUCUCAGCUCAGGGUUUGUUUGUGUUUUUGCAGCAUCACUGCAGCUGACUGAAGGAGUGGAGGGAUCUCUCCUCCUACCUCACCAGAUAAGAUGGCAAAAACAACGUUUCAAACCUCUGCCUUGAUUCAAAAGUGGUGACAAGUUGACUUCACACACGGAUGUGAGCCGGAAAAGACUAACAGGACGUUUUUUUUUUUUUUUUCAAGGGAAGGAUUACAUUUUUUUCUCCUUUUUUAUUUUCCUGUCCAGCGAUGAGCCAGGCUCCUACAGUGGGCCCCUGAACCCGGACAGACACAGUUUUCUUUUUUGCUCAAACUAAACUCCAAAGGAGGGAUUAAGAUUAACACCGCUGGUUCUGUGCAGAUUAACGCAGGGAUGACAGUGAAGCUGGACUUUGAGGAGUGUCUGAAAGACUCUCCUCGCUUCAGAGCUGAAAUCGAAGUUGUCCAAAAUGACGUGAGUGAGCUCGAGACUCGCCUGGAAAAGCUUGUGAAACAAUGCCAGGCCAUGCUGGAGGCCGGUAGAGUCUACUGUCAGACCAGUAAGAGCUUCGUCAAUGGUUUACGGGAGCUCGGACACCAGUGGUCAAAGGACAGCACCAUCGAGGACUGCUUGGACAAAUUUUCCAAAAAGCUGUCUGCCAUCUUGGAUGCACAGGGGGAAGUGAUUGAGACGAUUCAGAAGUCAGUGAAGACAAAGCUGCAGACCUUCGUGAAGGAAGAUGUUCGUAGGUUUAAGGAUGUCCGAAAAGAGUUUGAACGCUGUAGCGAGACUCUGGAGGGGGCGCUGGCCAGAAACGCCCAAGCUCCACGAGGGAAGCAGCACGAAGUGGAGGAAGCAACUAACGCUCUGCUCGGCGCACGCAAGGCCUUCCGGUCAGGGGCUUUAGACUAUGUGCUGGAGAUUAACGUCAUUGAAGCCAAAAAGAAGUCAGAUAUUUUGUCGGCCAUGCUGGCCCUCAUGGACGUCCAGUCUCAGUUCUUUAAACAAGGCCAUCAAUCUCUGUCAGAGCUGGAUCAAUAUUGCCAAAAACUGAGUGAAGAGCAAACUCAGUUUGUAUUGAACUCUGCCAGGGAUAAGAGGGAUAUGGAGCAAAGGCACUCAGCUAUUAAGAAAAAGGACAUGUCGUACGACGACCCCGUUUUGGAUUUUAAUGCUGAUGCUGCCAAUGGGAUAGCGAUGGAGGGUUACCUUUAUAAACGGGCUAGCAACGCCUUCAAGACCUGGAGCAGACGUUGGUUUUCAAUUCAGAAGAAUCAGCUGGUUUAUCAGAAGAAAUUUAAGGACCAGCCCACGGUUGUGGUGGAGGACCUGCGUCUCUGCACAGUCAAGCCCAGCACUGAAAAUGAGAGGCGAUUCUGCUUUGAAGUAGUGUCUCCGUCAAAAUGCUGUUUGUUACAAGCAGACUCGGAGAAGGAGCAGCAAGCGUGGAUCAGUGCUGUCCAAAACAGCAUCGCCUCUGCCUUUCAGGAGCAUAGAGAGGAUGCCCACAGCCCAAGACAGCGCUGCAGCUCAGUCUCCAUGAGCAAUUUAGGUGGAGGAGGAGGAGGAAGUGGGGAUCAGGAGAGCGAAGGCCUUAAGGCUCUAGAGGAGAUUCAGGCCAUCCCAGGAAACAAGCAGUGCUGCGACUGCGGAGAGGCUAGUCCUACUUGGGCCUCCAUCAACCUGGGAAUCACUCUGUGUAUUACCUGCUCAGGAAUACAUAGGAGCCUGGGCGUACAUUUCUCCAAGGUUCGCUCCCUCACUCUUGACUCCUGGGAACCGGAGCUCAUUAAGUUGAUGUGCGAAUUGGGAAACUCUGUGAUCAACCGGAUCUAUGAGGCUCGGAUUGAUGAGAUCACCAUCAAGAAGCCCCACCCUGCCAGCGCCAGAGGUGACAAGGAGUCAUGGAUUAGGUCCAAGUACGUUGAGAAGAAGUUUAUCCAGAAGUUGCCUGAGACUGGCAGAACCAACCUUUUGAGGCGGUCCAGCGCCAGGAGAACCCGAGCCACAACUCAGGAACGCAACGUUCAGAGGCCAGCUCUCAAACCCAAGCCGAACCGAGCCACGCUGCCUCGACUCACAAAUCUCAGCCCCAGUGACAUUCAGAAGAACAACUCUCAUAGAGAUUGGGAAGAAGAUGAAGAAGAGGAUCUCAGCGGCCUUCACCCCGGGGCAUUGUUGUACCGCUCUGCAGCGCUGCAGAACUUCCCCGUCAUGGCUGACGCGCUCGCCCAUGGGGCUGACGUCAACUGGGUAAAUGCGGCCGAGGAGUCGAGCACACCUCUGAUACAGGCCGUGUCGGUGAACGCCCUGGCAGCCUGUGAGUUCCUACUGCAGAACGGCGCCAAUGUCAACCUGGCAGACAGCAACAAAAGAGGACCACUGCACCACGCCACCAUCCUGGGCCACACAGGGUUGGUUUGCUUGUUCUUAAAACGAGGAGCUGACUACAACGCCCGAGACAAGAACGACAAAGACCCCAUAACCAUCGCCGUGGACAACGCAAACGCAGACAUUGUCACUCUGCUGAGGAUCGCCAAAAUGAACAAAGAGAUGCGGGAUAUGGACGGAGCAUUCGGCCCAUCAGGUCCGAACUCAGAGGGGCAGGAAAGCGGUGGGGUGGCGGGUGGGGCCAAAGGGGGCCGGGUGCACACUAAGAAAAGGAUUCAGGCCAAAAUGAAUCAAAUAAGCGACUGGGCUUUAGGAGGGGUGGAACGAUUAGCAGAGCUGAAAUCAGACCUUAAAACCUGAAUAAUAGCUUCCCAGAUAACUGAAUUUUCACAAUUUAUUCUACAACAGUCAUAGAAAUAAAAAGAAAUAUAAGAAACUUAAAAAAAAGAUGAAUCCAUACUGAAGCUCCAGGUGCACUUUGAAUUAAACUGUGAAUCGUGUUCGCACCUCUUUUACAAUGUCAGGUUUCUGUGAUUUAAAUGCAGUGAUGAAUUCUUUUAAAACUUUUCCACCUUUAAGGUGAUCUAAUCACCUUAACUAAAACACAAUCAUAUCUAUCAGAGGGACACAAUGUGCAAAAAAAUAGCUGAAGUAACCUGUUUGCAAAAGUGUGUAACACUUUGCUGAGAUCCAGCAUCCUGUUUUCUUUUGGUCAUGCCUAUAAAUUUGGCAUAGCAAUUUGUAAUUAGCUUAAGCCGCGCUGAUUUACUGGACAUCAGCUAGUUGCCAUCGUUCAGUGGGAGAAAAAGGCCAUAAAAAAAAAAAAAUCAGAUUCAUUUUCCUCUAAAUACAGCAUCCAAUCUUGGCUAAAAUAUUUUGGAAGAAAAUGAAACUAAACUUCAACUUUUGGUCCGUGAUGCUAAAGGGCAUGUGAUACUAUGAUGAGACUGAGAAUCAACAGAACAAAGCCAAACUCAACAGGGGCUGCUUCAUGUUAUAGGAUUAGACAGCAAAAUAACAAAAUCAAAGGCUGCUCCAACAAGCUUUCAUUUUAUUUCUACAUAUCCCCCAUCAAAAACACUGCCUUAUUGGUUCGGUUGCACAUCAGGAGAUUUUUUCAACAUUUUUCAAAUGAAUCGCGCAAACCUGGCGUUGUUUAAUUGGUGCAUGCAAUGUUUAUAUUCACUGCAAAUGCACAUCGGCACUUUGAAAAAGGUGACUAAAAAAUAAUAUGUUUUUGUACUUGUUACUGUUGCAUAUUGUAUAACAAGCCUUUUCCAAUGAGUUUGGAUACAACCUAUUUACUUUCUAUAUAUGUGCAUGGCUGUACUUCCAGUUAUUUAAGCUAAAUUCAGGGUGGGGUUUUGAGCUCACUGGUAAUUGUUUCCCCGCUAUUCUGUGAAUAGUGGCCUGGUUGAAGCUGUUAUAUUUAAUGUAUUUAUUAGCUACUGUUAGUCAGGUUCAAGGCGAUGUUUUGUCUCUUGUUGAAGCUCCACAGUCUCCUCUUCCAAGACUGAUCUGGGGUCAGUGUUGUUAACCGGCCUUAAGUUUCCAAUGGGAAUUAGUCUGGGGGUGGGAGGGUGUUUGGCAUGGAGGAACGGAAACGUGUUUGUCUGCUGGUCAGUUUUUGAAGUGCUCUGCUUUUUUACUGUCUGUCUUUGUUGUGUGCUCUCCUCGCCCCGCUGAGAUGCCCGUCUGGUCUCAACUGCUUGCGCAGUGUGUCACCUACAGCAAUCUAAGAGGUGAUGAAACUUACCAGGACAUUUUCAGAGACUUUUCACACAUGGCCUCUAAUAAUCCAGAGAAGCUCAAACGCCGCAGUGCGGAUCCUAAAUCUUAAAUGCCCUACACCCGACCCCCCAUCGGGCCUUUCCGUCAUUCGGUCCAGGUCUAACUUUUACAGCCC